CCCUACGGGGGGCAGCAGUGGGGGAUAUUGCCCAAUGGGGGGAACCCUGAUGCAGCGACGCCGCGUGGGUGAAGAAGCGCCUCGGCGCGUAAAGCCCUGUCAGCAGGGAAGAAAAUGACGGUACCUGAAGAAGAAGCCCCGGCUAACUACGUGCCAGCAGCCGCGGUAAUACGUAGGGGGCAAGCGUUAUCCGGAUUUACUGGGUGUAAAGGGGGCGCAGACGGCGAUGCAAGCCAGGAGUGAAAGCCCGGGGUCCAACCCCGGGACUGCCCUUGGAACUGCAUGGCUGGAGUGCGGGAGGGGCG
rnacentral:rRNA from 1 species